AGCUCAUUAAGCUGUCACGGCGCCGUGGCAACAGCGUGCAUGGCAUCCACAUCUAAAGCAAACACACAGCCUUUGAUCAGGGACGUUUUUUUACCAGGGUUGCGUUUUGUCCUGUCCAGUUCCUAUCCAGGGCUAAUGUGGAGGCUCAGCUUCGCCAUCCUCUGACGCUGCGUGCGGGCAGCAGCCUUGGCUUUGAUUGCCUUAAUUCCCGUGGCUCCCUUAGUGAGGUUCUGGGAGGCCCUACUCAGCACCUGAAUACACAGUCUGUGGGAAGGGGUAGGGUUUGAAGGGCUUCUGUUGCAUGACCCAUACCUUCCUUGGGCUUCCAUUGACCCUAUGACUGAAAUAAUAAAACUUUAAAAAUGCUAAA